GAUGAACGCUGGCGGCGUGCCUAAUACAUGCAAGUCGAGCGAAUGGAUUAAGAGCUUGCUCUUAUGAAGUUAGCGGCGGACGGGUGAGUAACACGUGGGUAACCUGCCCAUAAGACUGGGAUAACUCCGGGAAACCGGGGCUAAUACCGGAUAACAUUUUGAACCGCAUGGUUCGAAAUUGAAAGGCGGCUUCGGCUGUCACUUAUGGAUGGACCCGCGUCGCAUUAGCUAGUUGGUGAGGUAACGGCUCACCAAGGCAACGAUGCGGAGCCGACCUGGGAGGGUGAUCGGCCCAACUGGGACUGAGACACGGCCCAGAAUCCUACGGGAGGCAGCAGUAGGGAAUCUUCCGCAAUGGACGAAAGUCUGACGGAGCAACGCCGCGUGAGUGAUGAAGGCUUUCGGGUCGUAAAACUCUGUUGUUAGGGAAGAACAAGUGCUAGUUGAAUAAGCUGGCACCUUGACGGUACCUAACCAGAAAGCCACGGCUAACUACGUGCCAGCCGCCGCCGUAA
rnacentral:rRNA from 1 species